ensembl:lncRNA
CCUAAAGCUGCAGACAGUCCUGUAAGAAAAGGGAGACGUGUACAUACUUCGUCAACUCUGAUGAUGGGAGGCGGACCAUUAACACACCCAAAGGUCCAGAGGCAGUCAGUCCGGAGCACAACUGGAGUAGCAGUUCCUCGGACACCAGGGACCAGCUUUCUUUCUUUUUGCUCCACCAUCCUCAGCUUGUUACAUACUUGUAACAAGUGUGCAUGUGCUCCAGCCAUCACAUACACACUCAAGAGGAAAAAAAGACAUAGAAGAUUGCACCUCUACCUUUACUUUCAAAACUCCUGCACAGCACUUCUGAUUAUAACACCUUGAGCCAAGUUUAGUCCUCUGAUGACACCUAGCUAAAGUGGGGGUUUCAGAUGGGGGGCAUGGCUGUCCUGCGUACAAAUUGAGAUCCUGUUAAUUAAGAAAGGAGAGAAUGAGGGACUUACUUGGUGGUCCAGGAGUGAAGAAUCUGCCUUCCAAUGCAGGAGAUGCAGGUUUCGUCCCUGCUCAGGGAACUAAGAUUCCAUACGCCUCAGGGCAACUAAGCCCAUGUGCUGUGGCUAGAAAAAGCCUGCAGGCCACAGUGAAGACCCAGCACGGCAAAAAACAAAAACAAACCGAGAGAGAAUGGAUUGUGCAGUUGGCAAGCCGUCAUCUUUGCCUCAGAUAUAGUUGCCAUUGAUGUUGUCACUGUUAUUACAGAAGACAGGACUCCGGGGGUGGAUGGGAGCCAGAGAUUCUGAGAGUCACGACCAUCACAGGUGAUGAAUGAGACUACAGAAGCGAUAAGAAUCCUGAAGGAGUGACAGGAACAGAUGUCCCAGAAUCUUCUAGGACCAGUUACAUCCAUGGACCUCCAGGUUUCCAACAAGCCCUCCCCCGACCCCUGCCCAAAUCUGAUUCAGUAGAUUGGGAUCAGUCCAUAUAAUAUCUAUUUUUAACCAGCACCUCAGGUGACUGAUGCAGCCGGCCCACGUCCCAGUGUGUUUCUUGCAUGGGUUACUUCUCUGCUGAAAGCACUGAUGGAUUUCUGCCUCUAUAGAGCUAUAAUGUAAUGUCAGACCCUGUGUCAUGGGAACGGGGAGGGGAGUGAUGAUUAUAAAAGAACUUGACAACCUUUUUACCCACCUCAACAUUCACUUAGAGAGCCAGUGUUUUAAUUGAAUUAAAUAUACAUAUGCAUUAUGUUAUUUAACUUCAAAACAACUUGAUCUAACCAAAUAGCUCUGUCUGACGAUAUGUAAUUAUCAGCAUUUUAUAUAUAUAUAAUUAUCUUUAUUAAUAUGGAUAUAUUUAUCUCUUAAUAUGAAGACCUGUUUCCUUCACAGCCAUUGGCUGCCUCUUGUCUAGAAACCAUGUGGUUGGAGAUGGGGAGGAGGGGAAGCUUCAAAGCCCCAGGUCAGCAACCAGAAUUUAUUGUCUGUGGAAGGGAGCCAAGGUCUAUAUCGACAGAAAAAUGGAAGUUAGUUCAGCCUGCAGGAAAGACCCUGAUGCUGGGAAAGACUGAGAGCAGGAGGAGAAGGGGG